GGCACAGUGGUCUAAUGGUUAUGAUUCCCGCUAUGUAGUAUCCUGCUGGUUUCAGGCGGAGGGUGGGUGAUCUGGGUUCAAUUCCCAGCUGAGCCG